UGAGUGGCAGUGAGCCUUUUUCCCCUCAGGCUGUUGCCUCUCUGGCCAAGACCACGUUUCCUGAGAUGGACUGGAGGUCAUCUUUGUCCUCUCUCAUUGGGAAAUUCUGAGAACAUGAGGUAAACCGCAUGUGGGCGGGAAGGAAUGGGCAGGCUGGAGCUGCCAGGGUUUCCUCUCCUGGGAAGGAGCCUGCCGCCUGCAGACCGUGGAGACGGAGCCUCCUUGGAGAGGGCACCAGGGGCAUCCGUGGUGCUUCUGAGUCCGUGUUUCUUGACCUUCUGAUCACUGCUUCCUGACCUUGUGGUGGUGGUGAUGUCUAGAGCUGCAGCAGCCAUCCUGUGACCAUGAAGUGAUACGUAAGAGGAUGGCAAGCCGACACACUGAGGAGGCUCCUCUGUGGCUGAACAAGGCUGCAAGUACCUGUGGGCCUUUGGCAUCCCUGAGUCAGAAGGGAAGGAGAAAAGUCAAUAGGAAAAUAACAGCACAGAGGCCCUUGGACUUGGACCGCCCAGCCUCUCGAAUGUCCUGGAGGUCAGCAGUCUGAAAUGGAGUUCCCUGGGCUACAACCAAGGUGUGGGCAAAGCCGUGCUCCUUCUGAAGCCUCCAGGGGAGAAGUCCUCCGAGUGUCCUUUCCAGCUUCUAGAAACCGCCUGCGUUCCUUGGCAUGGCCCUUGUCAGCCAUCGCGGCCCUCCAACUUGUACCUGGGUUGUGGCUUCUCCAUCUCUCCCUCUCUGACCCUCCCUUUUCCAUAGAACGCUGGGAUUGCGUCUCUCUGGGUGUUCCAGGAUGAGCUCCCCAUCUCAGGAUCCUUAAUUUACUCACAUUCACAAAGUCCUUUAGCCAUGUAAGGUAGUAAAUUCACAGGUCCCAGGGAUGAGGAUACAGACGUCUUUGGGAGGAAGGGGGUGUCACUCUGCCCACCGCAUUCAGACAGGCUGUGAUCAGGACUUUGAGUGCAUGCAGAGGGCUCAGGCACCAUGAUGCACCAUUCCCAUGCAGACCCCUCUGCAAGCCCUUCCUCUUCCCUAUCCUGCUUGCCUUGUGAUCUUACCGGUUUUCCCUGGGCACACUUCCUUAAUAAAUCACCUGUUCUGAAUCUUAGGGAACGUGCCCUAAGACAGCAUAACCUCCCCGAGUAGGAAAGGGCUUAAGAAUAGCUGCUCACUUUCCUGCUUCUUGCAUUAGAUCAUCAACUAGAAGCUUCAGCCCCACAUUCAUUAAGAAGAAGGCUGGCUAGGCUGGUUCUGAGGGUUUAUGUAAAGCUGGCUUUACAUAAGGGUGUCCUUCCCAUCAGGGUGGGAAGUUUAAGUGGAAGCAUUCUAGACCCCCUUGAGGUCUAAGGGAGGGGCAGCAAGGCCCUUGGGGAGCCCUGGGACCAAAGUGGGCCCAGAGAGUCCUAGCAAUUGUUAUCUCCUUUGUAUUCAGUUGCUGACUGCCAGUAGCUUGUGGCAGGCACGGCCUCCCUGCCAAUGUGAUGUCAAUUGUGCUUCAGGUACAGUCAACUGGAUAUAGAAUUUUGCUUUAUAAGAAUGAGGUGGGUUGGGGAAUCUCCUAGAGGAUUUAAAUAGGGAGAACGACCAGGUCUGGUUAAUGUCUUGAGUGGUCACUUUGGCUGCUGGCAGGAGGACUGAUGGUGAUGGGGCCUGAGAGGAGGCAGGGGAGCUAGUGUGGAGGCUGUGCCACUCUUGGGGGGUAAAGAUGAUGGUGGGUCACCAGCUCCAUGCUAGUCCUCAGGAACACUCCAAGACCAGAGCAGAGGACUGACCUCAGCUCGAGUUCUUGCCUCACCUCCAGACUUGGGCAUCUUCUCCUCCCCUGGGUUCUCAAGUCCUGUGGACUCUGCCAUUUGCUGGCCUCACCAACUCCUUUCCUGUUAGAGUCUGUAAACAAGUCAGGAUGGCGCCUGGCAAAAUGCCAGAGGGAGCGGUUUGUGAAGUAAUGCCAGCGAGCCACUAAGUAUGGAGAUU